GCAGGUAGCAACGAGGGCGUUUCUUUCUUUCCCUUCGCUGUCAACAUUGAGGCGGGAUGGCAAGCAGGGAACGACAACAGUUUUUCUUUUCCGUCCACUAUGGUAUUCUUCCGUGUAGUUUUUCUGUGGAUUCAGGUCCUGUAGCCGUUUUAAGGGUUCUGAUGUGUCGCUAUUGGUGGCGGCUUGGCUUGGUCAUUGUUCUUCUCUGCGAUCUUUGCUGCUUUGUGUUGUUUUCUUUCCUUUAUUUUGUCUUACUGAAGAUUACCCAUCUGGAUGUAGGCUGUUGAACUUUCUCCCAAAUUCCUAUGAGUAAUCGACGUGCUGAUGCCUGAUGGCCGCCGGCGAGCUGCCGGGUGCACUCUUGAGGACUUUUAAUGACUUUGCCCGGCCUGCCCGUUGGAGGCGCUGUAGGAAUCCACCCUACAUGUCUUGGGAUCUGUUUACUUUUUUUUCUCCUACUCUUCCUGCAAUUGUUGUCACUCUAUGUCAGGUAAUACCGCACCAACCAUGACACCCUGUGAGUCAAUCUCGGUGCUUCUCUAUUUUACCUCACAGAAUCUAUAUACUAAAUAUACAUGAACUUGCAGACAGGUCAGUAGAACAAUGCAGACAUUAAUGAAAUAUGUAUCGCGUCGAAGUCAUUACUGGAGAAUCAUUUGCACGUGUCUACGAGUACAGAAAUCACGAAACAUGUAAGAAUUUGUAUGAACUGGUUUUCAUUGCUGUUGACCAUGAGGUAUCCUAUUUGACACACAACUCAGUACUUAACACUUGAUUUACUUAUCAUUACACCCUUACAUGGAAAGUGAAUGUGGAGUUAUCCCAAUUUAAUGGUUGUUUUAUUCACGAGAUUUCAAGUUCUGGCAAAAAAAUGCGGUCUCCGUUUUUCCAGGUUCGUUAUAGUCCAGCUUCUUCGAUAUCCUGUCUUCGGUAUGCUCAUCAUAAUGUACCUUUAUUUACAAGUAUCUAAUUGUGUCCCCAUGUCCCAAACUUGCUGAACCAAGCUACUCUUAUUUGUUUCAAUAUUUAAAUAUCAUGAAAAAAAGUCCUUCAAUAUUACCAUGAUAAAAUUCCAAUGAAGAUUAGAUGUGCAAAGGACAAAACCGAGAGUGUCCCAUGUCAUCCUCCGGGGGCGACCUGGAAACGAACCUUAGCUGCCGGGCAAAGCCCGCGCGGAGUCGGCGUGCCCUUCCUUUUCCAUUCGUGAGGUAUGCUGAGGUGUCGCAUAUUUGUCUUUAUAUUAUGCUAUUAUAAAGUGAUUAUGGUGAACCAUCUUCUUUGCUAUUUGACGUAGUUUACAGGCUGCAAUUUCAGUUGGCAACCUAAUAUUAUAAUGUGCACAGAAGCUUUUUAGUGUAAAAAAAAAUGUUAAAACCAUUUGCACCUUUGAUAUCGUUGUCCUGCCUGCCAUCUUAAUUGCAGUACUUAAUCUCUUCAGGAGGAGGGGCUAAGCAAGAAGUUGAAUUGGGCUUACCUCUUCCUUCUACUUUGUUCAGUUCAGAAACACCUUUUAUGUUUGCUUGAUAAAAUGUCAUGCUGGUGUUGGUAUACAUAUAUAACUAGACUUCAAUUGACAUACACUUCUUAACAUUCAAUUGUAGUUUCUUAAACGCCUCUUCUGCCCACCACUUUUAUAACAUGCUCAUGUAAAAUCAAUUGAAUGCCAAGUUCAUUUGGGUAGCAGAUUUCCCUUUCUUGGGCAUCCUUCGAGAAGGAUCUACUUACCUGAAAAGGCAGACCAUAAUGAGCACGGAAAACAAAACAAGAACAAACCAUUAGGCCUAUUGCAUGUUGCUGGCGUGCCUACUCUGAUUAUAUUUCAAUUAUCUGUCCAUCUUGGGUGCUCCUUCUUUAUAUUUAUAUUUAAUCUUUUAUAAAUCUCUACAACUUCAUCUAUACAACAAUCCAUCGAUAUUUGCUUUCAACCAUACAUAGCUAGCUUCCACCAUGUAAAUAUUUUGUUCAUGAACUGCGAUCUAUUGAAUAUUCGGUACUGCAAACAAAAUUAAAAUCAUAAGAAAUCGAGAAAAUGAAAUUCUAACUAGAUAUUGGCAACACAAUCACCGCUUAUAAGUUUACUGCAUGGUGUGUUGCUAUUGAAGCUACAGCAGCCAUGAUGCGGAUCAAACUGUCACUUUCCUAUCUUACAGAUUUGACACAGAUCUCCCAGAUGGCAAGUGCAAUUGUGCAUUGCUUUAUAUAUUUAUACUUACGGGGCAAGACCAUAUAACAGUAAUAUUAAACUAGGAGUAUUUUGCUUAGGUACUGAUGUGUACCAAGAUGAUGUUCAGAUAGCUAAAUUCAGGUGUCUGCAAACGAUAUUUGCAAACACUCGGUGUUGAAGCUACCUACAAGAGCUGAUACAUUUCCAAAGAAGAGUAUCUACAUAAUAAUGUUACCAAUAGUGUAGAUCAGAACUACUGGAUAAUUAUGCACGAUGUAUUGGGAAUGUGCAACAACAUUAUCUCGCUCAAUAUCCAGCAGGAAUGUGUUCAUGCAACGUCUGGCUCAUUCCAGUAUAAAUGUGUACCAGCUCGGUCGCUCAGUCAAAUGUAUCCACGUGGUCUCACUCAACAUUAUUCACCGUGUAAUCCAAAUUAAAUAUCUGUUAGCGCUGUCAACUACGUCA